rnacentral:rRNA from 1 species
GAUGAACGCUGGCGGCGUGCCUAAUACAUGCAAGUCGAGCGAACGGACGAGAAGCUUGCUUCUCUGAUGUUAGCGGCGGACGGGUGAGUAACACGUGGAUAACCUACCUAUAAGACUGGGAUAACUUCGGGAAACCGUAGCUAAUACCGGAUAAUAUUUUGAACCGCAUGGUUCAACAGUGAAAGACGGUCUUGCUGUCACUUAUAGAUGGAUCCGCGCUGCAUUAGCUAGUUGGUAAGGUAACGGCUUACCAAGGCAACGAUGCAUAGCCGACCUGAGAGGGUGAUCGGCCACACUGGAACUGAGACACGGUCCAGACUCCUACGGGAGGCAGCAGUAGGGAAUCUUCCGCAAUGGGCGAAAGACUGACGGAGCAACGCCGCGUGAGUGAUGAAGGUCUUCGGAUCGUAAAACUCUGUUAUUAGGGAAGAACAUAUGUGUAAGUAACUGUGCACAUCUUGACGGUACCUAAUCAGAAAGCCACGGCUAACUACGUG